rnacentral:rRNA from 1 species
GCUGCAUGGCUGUCGUCAGCUCGUGUUGUGAAAUGUUGGGUUAAGUCCCGCAACGAGCGCAACCCUUAUCCUUUGUUGCCAGCGAUUCGGUCGGGAACUCAAAGGAGACUGCCAGUGAUAAACUGGAGGAAGGUGGGGAUGACGUCAAGUCAUCAUGGCCCUUACGACCAGGGCUACACACGUGCUACAAUGGCGCAUACAAAGAGAAGCGACCUCGCGAGAGCAAGCGGACCUCAUAAAGUGCGUCGUAGUCCGGAUUGGAGUCUGCAACUCGACUCCAUGAAGUCGGAAUCGCUAGUAAUCGUGGAUCAGAAUGCCACGGUGAAUACGUUCCCGGGCCUUGUACACACCGCCCGUCACACCAUGGGAGUGGGUUGCAAAAGAAGUAGGUAGCUUAACCUUCGGGAGGGCGCUUACCACUUUGUGAUUCAUGACUGGGGUGAAGUCGUAACAAGGUAACCGUAGGGGAACCUGC